rnacentral:misc_RNA from 1 species
UGCAAUUCGUGCUCCAUGCCCAACCAGACAUAAAUCCCACUUCAUGCGAUUCUGUGGAGGUCAAAACGAGCAAGACUUAAUUGACGUGGAUAGCUCCAAAACUACAAAACCUUCAGCCGAGAGAGAUUAGAAUUGCCACCUGCCAAUACAAUGCCCUGCUGAUGCUUCACCUUUGAAGUUAUCCACCUUGGAGAAUUUCAUCACCAGUUCAUAAUUUUUCAGCUGGGUCAAGGGGCUAUAUUUUCCUUUAAUUAUUCUUGCCAUGGCAUUAUCUUUCUCCCCCAAUUUUACUCGCCACUAUCAUUCCCUCUUUCCCAGUUUCAAAUCCUUAAAAAACAGAAAAACAGUUGUGGCGCGAAAUUCCAACGGUAAUGUCCCCUCCUCCAAUGGUACCGUCCUUCUCAAAGAUAAGCCAUUAAUUCCAGGGAAGCCAGAGGCUGAUGUGGUUGUGAUUGGGAGUGGUAUUGGUGGGUUGUGUUGUGGUGGGCUUCUGGCUAGAUACCAGCAGGAUGUUCUUGUAUUAGAAAGUCAUGAUCAACCUGGGGGUGCUGCUCACACUUUUGAGAUAAAAGGCUAUAGGUUUGAUUCUGGUCCCUCCUUGUUCUCUGGUUUUCAAUCAAGGGGUCCUCAGGCCAAUCCUCUUGCACAAGUCCUAGAUGCAUUGGGUGAGUCAAUUCCAUGUGUGAACUAUGAUUCUUGGAUGGUGUAUGUGCCUGAAGGUGAAUUCUUGUCGCGGAUUGGGCCCACAGAAUUUUACAAGGACCUUGAGACAUAUGCAGGCCCCAAUGCAGUGCAAGAGUGGAAAAAACUUCUUGAUGCAAUACUUCCACUGUCAUCAGCUGCAAUGGCUCUGCCUCCUUUAUCCAUCCGAGGUGAUCUUGGCGUUAUCUCUACUGCAGCAGCUAGAUAUGCCCCUUCCUUGUUGAAAUCUUUUGCUCAGAUGGGACCUCAGGGAGCUUUUGGUGCUACAAAGCUUCUUAGGCCCUUCUCUGAAAUUGUUGACUCAUUGGAGCUAAAAGAUCCUUUUAUAAGGAACUGGGUGGACCUCUUGGCAUUUCUUCUUGCAGGGGUGAAAUCUAAUGGUAUACUUUCAGCAGAGAUGGUAACUAUGGCUUAUUUAAGUUUUAAGAUUCUCUGAAAGAUGUUCUUGUAUAAAUAUAUUUCUAAAUUGCACAAACAACCCAAAAGAAAAAAAAAAAAAAAUCACAGAGACUGUAUCACAGGCCAAAAUAUCAUAGCUAACCUCAUCAAUCAAGUUAACUUUCAAUCUCCUUCUCCCUCAGAUCUCAAAGCUUGAUAUAUACAUAGAUCUCUCUCACUCGGAUCUUUACGUUCACUUCAUUGACAAACUGUAUCACUCUAAGUUUAAUGGAGAGGUUCUUUUGAUCUGUGCUUCUAAGGAGGAGAUCUGGUUAGAUUUUGAAUCUAUAGAGUUUUGGUGGUUUAAUCUUCAUAAGCUGGCUGUGAAUCUAUAUAGGUUUUUGAUUGUUUGGUUUAUGCUUGAUUUGGAUUUGUCAUGGAGAAGAUUUAGAAGCUAGAGUGAGAUUUUGCUGCACAAUCUAACCUGAAGGUGUGAGUUUUAGCUGCUAUAGUGAAAUUUAAUCCUAGGAUUUACCUAACUCGAACUUGCAAUGGAGACGCUUGUUGCUGUAGCCCAGCACAGGAAUCAGUACUAUAGCAGAGUCAAGGCUUAUAAGCAAGCUCGACUAGGGUCUUCCCCUUCUAGGCACUUCAGAGGGAUCAAUUGCCGGACUUUCCAAUCUGGGUCACGAGUACUGCCAACCUCCUUCAAUACUUGCGGCACUACUGUCACCAAAGGCACUCUUUCUACCCCUACUUCGUCCUCUCAGAAAACACCAUCACCAACUAUCAAGGCCCCCUCGAAGUCUCACACUGUUGAUAAUACACACUUUAAGGCUGCUCCAAAAAGCUCUCCAAUUCCGAUAAAUAUCCCUUCAAGGGAGACGCCAUUUAAUGAUGAGCUGGUUGUCUCGAGUGAGAAUUUGCCAUUCGGAGAGCUCUGGGCUGGACCUGCUUACUCAAAUUCGCCACCGGCCAGUUCCCUUCCAAUUCCAAAGUUUUCAAUGAGGCCAAAACGAACCGUAUCGCUUGAGUUGCCGGUCUCUAAUUCUGGUAUCAAAGUGCAUCCGAUUGCCAAGUCCGCCCCUGCUUCCCCCAAAAGGGAAUAUAGCCCAUUCGCUAAAGACCUGUUUCUAAGCGUUGAUUCUGCGACUAAGACUCUGCGUCGCAUUCUUAAUCUUGAUGUGGCGGAUGAUUGAAGAUUGGCGGCUUAUGCUUCUGUAAAUAUUUUUAGUGUUAGACUGUAUAUAAAGGGAAUAAAUUGUUAGUAGUAUGUAUCCGUUGAAGUUAAACUGUUAGCUUUUGCUUAUGGUGGUGGUGAUCGUCGUACAAGUGAAAGAUGUGGCUUUGAUUGGCGAUGAUCUCCAUGUCCAGAAUUAAUAAGUUGAUGUGUGAUGUGGAUUAGUGUUUCAGUGAUUGGGUUUCUUAGCAAGUUAGGCAAGUUAAGUGCAGUUAAGAUGGGGCAAGUUACUUGUAGCUUGGGAAGUGUAACAUGGAUCAUGGAUGGAAUCUGACUAUAAUACCUUCAGGAAGCAGGAGGGAACCGUGAAUUAGGUGACUUCAUUGGCAAUUGAAUGGAACAACUUACUGCUACAAGGAAACUACAUCUUUGUUAUGAUGUAUGGUCUUCAAUAUAAUCUCCUCGUAUAAAUUUUCGUUGCCGAGUGAAAUUUAGGCCUAUAGUAUCAGGUACACUGUAUAUACGGUUAAAUCUUAAUUAGAUUAGUCUUACUCCAAUCUCGUAGGCUUAUGUCUUUUUUUGUAGAAUGAUCUUUAUUUCAUCCAAGUCGUCGUCUUUCUUGAUUUUCUAGUUUCUGACGUAGCUUAGUGUGCUGGCUUCCUAAUUUAGUAUUACUUCCAUUAGCAUCUUGAACAGUUACUUGUAACUGCUUUACUUGGUUCUUUGUUGCCUGCGUUGAUUUCUCAACAAUCAAAACCUCCUCAUAUACAUACCAUUUCUUUCUUUGUUUCUUUUAGAUAGGUCUAACUCCCUGCAUACACUCUGCAUGGGUGUUGUUUCCUCCUCGCCAUCUUUUCUGUUUUUUUUUUAGAGGGAAAGUGGCAAGUGAAAGUGAAAUUAGUUGUUAUCGCAUCUGCUUUUUGGGUUUGUAAAGUCAAUCCAAUCCGUGUUGCUUCUUCGAGUUGUAACUUGUAAGCCUAUUAGUUUCUUGUUCUUUUGAGCGGAUAACAGAGUGUACUCUUGGUCUUCAUAGAGCUUGUCUUUUUAGGAGACUGUUGUCGUACCAAGCUAAUUGCGAGGUAAUUUUUUCCACUUCUUAUUUUUUUUAAACUGCAAUUAAGUUUUUUUAUUUUUUUCUCCUUGUUCUGGGGGUGUCAAGCUAUCAUUACUGACGCUUGCUAAACAUGUGUUACAGGCCACAGGUGUGGAAGAUUCCAGGAGGCUGCUUUUGUAGUAGAUGUUCUUUCUUCAUAGCGUAAUAGUUUCUUAAAGCAAGUUUUAUGAGGAUCCAUUUUCAGUUUUUAUUGUCGCUCAUGGAAAUACAAGCUAAUUUCUGUCUGGCUGUUUUGUCUUGUGUACCAGUAGUGGUUUAAUUAGUCUGAUGUUGGAUGAUUUGUGUUUGUGUUGAGACUGCAAUACUAGUUUAAUUACUCCAUCCUCUUUGUUUAAG